rnacentral:rRNA from 1 species
UACGUAGGGGGCGAGCGUUGUUCGGAAUUAUUGGGCGUAAAGCGCGUGUAGGCGGUUCGGUAAGGCGGAUGUGAAACCCCCUGGGCUCAACCCAGGGCCUGCAUCCGCGACUGCCGGGCUAGAGUGUGGGAGGGGGAGAGCGGAAUUCCUGGUGUAGCGGUGAAAUGCGUAGAUAUCAGGAGGAACACCGGUGGCGAAGGCGGCUCUCUGGACCAUAACUGACGCUGAGACGCGAAAGCUAGGGGAGCAAACAGG